rnacentral:rRNA from 1 species
GGUUAAGCGACUAAGCGUACACGGUGGAUGCCCUGGCAGUCAGAGGCGAUGAAGGACGUGCUAAUCUGCGAUAAGCGUCGGUGAGGUGAUAUGAACCGUUAUAACCGGCGAUUUCCGAAUGGGGAAACCCAGUGUGUUUCGACACACUAUCAUUAACUGAAUCCAUAGGUUAAUGAGGCGAACCGGGGGAACUGAAACAUCUAAGUACCCCGAGGAAAAGAAAUCAACCGAGAUUCCCCCAGUAGCGGCGAGCGAACGGGGAGCAGCCCAGAGCCUGAAUCAGUGUGUGUGUUAGUGGAAGCGUCUGGAAAGGCGCGCGAUACAGGGUGACAGCCCCGUACACAAAAAUGCACAUACUGUGAGCUCGAUGAGUAGGGCGGGACACGUGGUAUCCUGUCUGAAUAUGGGGGGACCAUCCUCCAAGGCUAAAUACUCCUGACUGACCGAUAGUGAACCAGUACCGUGAGGGAAAGGCGAAAAGAACCCCGGCGAGGGGAGUGAAAAAGAACCUGAAACCGUGUACGUACAAGCAGUGGGAGCCUCUUUAUGGGGUGACUGCGUACCUUUUGUAUAAUGGGUCAGCGACUUAUAUUCUGUAGCAAGGUUAACCGAAUAGGGGAGCCGAAGGGAAACCGAGUCUUAACUGGGCGUUAAGUUGCAGGGUAUAGACCCGAAACCCGGUGAUCUAGCCAUGGGCAGGUUGAAGGUUGGGUAACACUAACUGGAGGACCGAACCGACUAAUGUUGAAAAAUUAGCGGAUGACUUGUGGCUGGGGGUGAAAGGCCAAUCAAACCGGGAGAUAGCUGGUUCUCCCCGAAAGCUAUUUAGGUAGCGCCUCGUGAAUUCAUCUCCGGGGGUAGAGCACUGUUUCGGCAAGGGGGUCAUCCCGACUUACCAACCCGAUGCAAACUGCGAAUACCGGAGAAUGUUAUCACGGGAGACACACGGCGGGUGCUAACGUCCGUCGUGAAGAGGGAAACAACCCAGACCGCCAGCUAAGGUCCCAAAGUCAUGGUUAAGUGGGAAACGAUGUGGGAAGGCCCAGACAGCCAGGAUGUUGGCUUAGAAGCAGCCAUCAUUUAAAGAAAGCGUAAUAGCUCACUGGUCGAGUCGGCCUGCGCGGAAGAUGUAACGGGGCUAAACCAUGCACCGAAGCUGCGGCAGCGACACUAUGUGUUGUUGGGUAGGGGAGCGUUCUGUAAGCCUGCGAAGGUGUACUGUGAGGUAUGCUGGAGGUAUCAGAAGUGCGAAUGCUGACAUAAGUAACGAUAAAGCGGGUGAAAAGCCCGCUCGCCGGAAGACCAAGGGUUCCUGUCCAACGUUAAUCGGGGCAGGGUGAGUCGACCCCUAAGGCGAGGCCGAAAGGCGUAGUCGAUGGGAAACAGGUUAAUAUUCCUGUACUUGGUGUUACUGCGAAGGGGGGACGGAGAAGGCUAUGUUGGCCGGGCGACGGUUGUCCCGGUUUAAGCGUGUAGGCUGGUUUUCCAGGCAAAUCCGGAAAAUCAAGGCUGAGGCGUGAUGACGAGGCACUACGGUGCUGAAGCAACAAAUGCCCUGCUUCCAGGAAAAGCCUCUAAGCAUCAGGUAACAUCAAAUCGUACCCCAAACCGACACAGGUGGUCAGGUAGAGAAUACCAAGGCGCUUGAGAGAACUCGGGUGAAGGAACUAGGCAAAAUGGUGCCGUAACUUCGGGAGAAGGCACGCUGAUAUGUAGGUGAAGCGACUUGCUCGUGGAGCUGAAAUCAGUCGAAGAUACCAGCUGGCUGCAACUGUUUAUUAAAAACACAGCACUGUGCAAACACGAAAGUGGACGUAUACGGUGUGACGCCUGCCCGGUGCCGGAAGGUUAAUUGAUGGGGUUAGCGGUAACGCGAAGCUCUUGAUCGAAGCCCCGGUAAACGGCGGCCGUAACUAUAACGGUCCUAAGGUAGCGAAAUUCCUUGUCGGGUAAGUUCCGACCUGCACGAAUGGCGUAAUGAUGGCCAGGCUGUCUCCACCCGAGACUCAGUGAAAUUGAACUCGCUGUGAAGAUGCAGUGUACCCGCGGCAAGACGGAAAGACCCCGUGAACCUUUACUAUAGCUUGACACUGAACAUUGAGCCUUGAUGUGUAGGAUAGGUGGGAGGCUUUGAAGUGUGGACGCCAGUCUGCAUGGAGCCGGCCUUGAAAUACCACCCUUUAAUGUUUGAUGUUCUAACGUUGGCCCCUGAUCGGGGUUGCGGACAGUGUCUGGUGGGUAGUUUGACUGGGGCGGUCUCCUCCUAAAGAGUAACGGAGGAGCACGAAGGUUGGCUAAUCCUGGUCGGACAUCAGGAGGUUAGUGCAAUGGCAUAAGCCAGCUUGACUGCGAGCGUGACGGCGCGAGCAGGUGCGAAAGCAGGUCAUAGUGAUCCGGUGGUUCUGAAUGGAAGGGCCAUCGCUCAACGGAUAAAAGGUACUCCGGGGAUAACAGGCUGAUACCGCCCAAGAGUUCAUAUCGACGGCGGUGUUUGGCACCUCGAUGUCGGCUCAUCACAUCCUGGGGCUGAAGUAGGUCCCAAGGGUAUGGCUGUUCGCCAUUUAAAGUGGUACGCGAGCUGGGUUUAGAACGUCGUGAGACAGUUCGGUCCCUAUCUGCCGUGGGCGCUGGAGAACUGAGGGGGGCUGCUCCUAGUACGAGAGGACCGGAGUGGACGCAUCACUGGUGUUCGGGUUGUCAUGCCAAUGGCACUGCCCGGUAGCUAAAUGCGGAAGAGAUAAGUGCUGAAAGCAUCUAAGCACGAAACUUGCCCCGAGAUGAGUUCUCCCUGACUCCUUGAGAGUCCUGAAGGAACGUUGAAGACGACGACGUUGAUAGGCCGGGUGUGUAAGCGCAGCGAUGCGUUGAGCUAACCGGUACUAAUGAACCGUGAGGCUUAACCUU